CGGUCGCAAGAUUAAAACUCAAAGAAUUGACGGGGGGCCCGCACAAGCGGUGGAUUAUGUGGAUUAAUUCGAUGCAACGCGAAAAACCUUACCUAGCCUUGACAUGUAGCGAACUUAGCAGAGAUGCUUUGGUGCCCGAAAGGGAGCGUUAACACAGGUGCUGCAUGGCUGUCGUCAGCUCGUGUCGUGAGAUGUUGGGUUAAGUCCCGCAACGAGCGCAACCCUUGCCAUUAAUUGCCAUCAUUUAGUUGGGCACUUUAAUGGGACUGCCGGUGACAAACCGGAGGAAGGUGGGGAUGACGUCAAGUCCUCAUGGCCCUUAUGGCUAGGGCUUCACACGUAAUACAAUGGUCGGUACAGAGGGUAGCCAACCCGCGAGGGGGAGCCAAUCCCAGAAAGCCGAUCGUAGUCCGGAUUGCAGUCUGCAACUCGACUGCAUGAAGUCGGAAUCGCUAGUAAUCGCGGAUCAGCAUGUCGCGGUGAAUACGUUCCCGGGCCUUGUACACACCGCCCGUCACACCAUGGGAGUGGGUUUCACCAGAAGUAGUUAGUCUAACCGUAAGGGGGACGAUUACCACGGUGGGAUUCAUGACUGGGGUG
rnacentral:rRNA from 1 species